rnacentral:rRNA from 1 species
AUACGUAGGGUGCAAGCGUUAAUCGGAAUUACUGGGCGUAAAGCGUGCGCAGGCGGUUUUGUAAGACAGAGGUGAAAUCCCCGGGCUCAACCUGGGAACUGCCUUUGUGACUGCAAGGCUAGAGUACGGCAGAGGGGGAUGGAAUUCCGCGUGUAGCAGUGAAAUGCGUAGAUAUGCGGAGGAACACCGAUGGCGAAGGCAAGCCCCUGGGCCUGUACUGACGCUAAUGCACGAAAGCGUGGGGAGCAAACAGGAUUAGAUACCCUGGUAGUCCACGCCGUAAACGAUGUCAACUGGUUGUUGGGGAUUUAUUUUCUCAGUAACGAAGCUAACGCGUGAAGUUGACCGCCUGGGGAGUACGGCCGCAAGGUUAAAACUCAAAUGAAUUGACGGGG